GUGCACCAGUCGCGAAAACUCCGCAAUACGCGAAAGCGUGACGGGGCCAUCCCGAGUGCCGUCCGCUGAGGAUGGCUUUUCCCUAGUGUAGAUAGCUGGGGGAAUAAGGAGAGGGCAAGUCUGGUGUCAGCCGCCGCGGUAAUACCAGCUCUUCGAGUGGUAGGGAUGUUUAUUGGGCCUGAAGCAUCCGUAGCUGGCUGUGCAAGUCCUCCGUUAAAUCCAGCGAUUUAAUCGUUGGAUUGCGGGGGAUACUGUUCGGCUAGGCGGCGAGAGAGGCCGACGGUAUUUUCGGGGUAGGGGUGAAAUCCUAUAAUCCCGGAAAGACCACCAGUGGCGAAGGCUGUCGGCUAGAACGCGCCCGACGGUGAGGGAUGAAAGAUGGGGGAGCGAACCGGAUUAGAUACCCGGGUAGUCC
rnacentral:rRNA from 1 species